UACGGAGGGAGCUAGCGUUGUUCGGAAUUACUGGGCGUAAAGCGCGCGUAGGCGGCUUUGUAAGUUAGAGGUGAAAGCCUGGAGCUCAACUUCAGAAUUGCCUUUAAGACUGCAUCGCUUGAAUCCGGGAGAGGUGAGUGGAAUUCCGAGUGUAGAGGUGAAAUUCGUAGAUAUUGGGAAGAACACCGGUGGCGAAGGCGGCCAUCUGGACCGCAACUGACGCUGAGGCGCGAAAGCGUGGGGAGCAAACAGG
rnacentral:rRNA from 1 species